rnacentral:rRNA from 22 species
GGUAGCAUAAUCACUUGUCUUUUAAAUGGAGACUUGUAUGAACGGCGAAACCUUUUUCAACUGUCUCCCUCUCCACCCUCUCAAAUUUCUUCCUGUGUGAAGAAGCACAGAUAACACAGAAAGACGAGAAGACCCUGUCGAGCUUUAGCCACUAAGUGAACAACAGCCACGUAAUAUCACCAAAAGGCUUUGGUUGGGGCAACCACGGAGAAAAGAAAUCCUCCAGAACAAAUAGAAGAAAACCAUUCACUACUAUAUAUUAAAGAACCAGAAACUGGCAUUCGGAAAAAGUUACCGCAGGGAUAACAGCGUCAUCUCCUUUAAGAGUCCUUAUUGACGAGGAGGUUUGCGACCUCGAUGUUGGAUUGGGGCCCCCUUAGGGUGCAGAAGCUCUAAACGGUUAGACUGUUCGUCUAUUAAAGCCCU